AAGUUAGACGAUAUGAAGAACCCCCANCCCGCUUGCGGGAGGGAAGCUAGCUUUUUCUUUAGUAAUAUCUAAAGAUUAGGAGGGUACAGNUCAGCCUUAUAUUUUUAUACAAGGUNUAAUAGCUAGGCCUUAGCAGCCCUAAAGGGGGUGGCACAAAAUCGGAGGCCCCGACUGUUUACUUAAAACACAGCUUUCUGCGACGAAUAAUAUCUUUGUAUAGAAAGUGAAUUUUGCCCGAUGCCAUUAAUAUAAAGUCGAUAAGCGCUUAGCGUAAUUAUUGGCUGAAGUUCUGGUCAAUGGCGGUCUUAUCUAUGAGGAUCCUAAGGUAGCAAAAUUAAUUGUCCAUUAAAUGUGGUCCUGACUGAAUAAAGUAACGAUGGUCUCGCUGUCUCUACAAGUAUCUCAG
rnacentral:rRNA from 1 species